rnacentral:sRNA from 1 species
UUGAAGGUAAAAUAUGUAGCCACCGCAAUACGUACAACAACCUCGACAAAACAUACUGUAGAUGGGGAUGCUGCAGUUCAACCAGUUCCCCGUGCUGUAGACCUUUCUACACUCAAACGCCAUUCAUAGCUGGCAUUUCUAGUGCGAUUGGCGCCAUUUUCCUUAUCGUCUGUUGUGUCAAAUGUUGUAGAAAAGAGAGAGAAGAAGAAACAAAAGUUCAGUACAGUAGUCUAGAAACUACAGAGGAAUAUGGAGCAACCAGCACACCACACACCAACAUUACGUUCUAUUCAGAUACUCAAAAUUCACGCAAUGGGAAGACACACUGAUGUUUGAGAAAAAGCCCUAGUUGGCAGCACUUACAAACUUGAACAUUUGGCAGCAUUUCCACUCUAAGGUUAAAGUCGAACGUUAGCAGCAAGAGGAGAGUAUUUUAAAACUGAAUUGCUUAUGAUGCUACUGUACUAUUAUGUUAUGUCUGUACUUGUUUUGAAGUGUUCCUUUGUAGUGUCUAGUCUAAAUGAUGCCUCUUUAUUAGAUGGAGAUAACACUAUGAUAUGUAUGAGAGAUGUUUAUAUAUUGAAAAAUAAUAAAUUAUGUUGGUGUGAAUAAUGGUGAAAUACUUUUGA